GUUUCCGUAGUGUAGUGGUUAUCACGUGCGCUUAACACGCGCAAGGUCCCCGGUUCGAUCCCGGGCGGAAACA
rnacentral:tRNA from 1 species